GCAGCGAUGCCGCGUGAGUGAAGAAGGCCUUUGGGUUGUAAAGCUCUUUCGUCGGGGAAGAAAAUGACUGUACCCGAAUAAGAAGGUCCGGCUAACUUCGUGCCAGCAGCCGCGGUAAUACGAAGGGACCUAGCGUAGUUCGGAAUUACUGGGCUUAAAGAGUUCGUAGGUGGUUAAAAAAGUUGGUGGUGAAAUCCCAGAGCUUAACUCUGGAACUGCCAUCAAAACUUUUUAGCUAGAGUAUGAUAGAGGAAAGCAGAAUUUCUAGUGUAGAGGUGAAAUUCGUAGAUAUUAGAAAGAAUACCAAUUGCGAAGGCAGCUUUCUGGAUCAUUACUGACACUGAGGAACGAAAGCAUGGGUAGCGAAGAGGAUUAGAUACCCUCGUAGUCCAUGCCGUAAACGAUGUGUGUUAGACGUUGGAAAUUUAUUU
rnacentral:rRNA from 1 species